rnacentral:rRNA from 1 species
GACGAACGCUGGCGGCGUGCUUAACACAUGCAAGUCGAACGGAAAGGCCCUGCUUUUGUGGGGUGCUCGAGUGGCGAACGGGUGAGUAACACGUGAGUAACCUGCCCUUGACUUUGGGAUAACUUCAGGAAACUGGGGCUAAUACCGGAUAGGAGCUCCUGCUGCGUGGUGGGGGUUGGAAAGUUUCGGCGGUUGGGGAUGGACUCGCGGCUUAUCAGCUUGUUGGUGGGGUAGUGGCUUACCAAGGCUUUGACGGGUAGCCGGCCUGAGAGGGUGACCGGCCACAUUGGGACUGAGAUACGGCCCAGACUCCUACGGGAGGCAGCAGUGGGGAAUAUUGCACAAUGGGCGGAAGCCUGAUGCAGCAACGCCGCGUGCGGGAUGACGGCCUUCGGGUUGUAAACCGCUUUCGCCUGUGACGAAGCGUGAGUGACGGUAAUGGGUAAAGAAGCACCGGCUAACUACGU